CGAGUGACUGGACGAUCUAUGGUAGAUUUUUUCGACCUGAUUACGCUAGCAAAAUAGAACCAACGUUAAAAGAGUUGGGCCAGUUUAAGUAAAUUGCACAGCUAGGAUUUUUUCUUAUUAAAUACCAGAAUAAUAGAAUGUAUAUGCUACCGGUUUCUGCCAGGGUAACCAAAUCUACACUGCGUUUAACAGAUUUUAAUAUUAACGAACCGGCUGAGGUGGCUGUGGCUGUGCCCU